GAUUCUAUCGGUAUUUCGAAUAAACGAAUCGUUCGAAACUAAUGUGCGAUGCGCCAUGCGCUAACGAGCGAAAGAAAAACAACCGCGACGGCCGUAGCAUCUGGAGAAUGUCGUCUGUCACCGCCUUCGAGGUUCGGCUCGUAGGACCCUUUCUCAACGGAACAGAUUUUUCGGCAGUGACGCGGCAUUCUAGCUUCGGACCGAGUGCAACGCGCAUCGUCUUCGUUGCGAAAACGUUUUCGAAGAAACACGAGAACGCGUUAUUCCAGCAGGUAUUAGAAUAAAUCUGACUACUGAACGAGGGAAAAGUGUUGGCAAACCCAAAGUAAAUAAAAUAUCGAGGUGAACAACGUGCACUUCGAUACUGUGCUUUCUCCAAGCGAAGGGUACUUCUCGAAGGUUCAACCGUUACUUUGAAAAGAGCAGGCCACGUAAUAAAAGAUUGUCCUCAACCUUUUAUACCAAUUUUGCCGAGGCGAACAUUUUUCUGCCGACCUACGGCCAGACGCGUCGCUCAUCGGCCUCAACCGUAUUAUCUAAUACAUCAUAAUAUGAUAUACGUGUAACAUCGUAUUUCGUAUAUUCGUAACGAACCGUCUUGGACGUCGCAAGUAUCUCCGGAGUAUUCGUGAGUAUCAGUGACUCGCAACGUUUGCAACGCUCGAGUUCGGUAACUACGCUUUCCCUCCAGACGAUGCAAUUAUAUGAAAUAAAAUAAAGAAGCCGCUUAAAUAUAUCGGAUCGGAUCGAUCGCGAGACGAACGAUACGAGCAAAAAAA